GGAUUGGGACAUGCAGACCUGUGAGUCCAAAGCCCCUUCUAUCCUUAUGUGAUGACAGUCUGUCCACAUGACCUUGACCAGUUCAACUUGCAAUAAAUCAAGGGGAUGGUUUAAAGACUAGAACCUUACUGCUGCUGCUGCUACUACUGCUACUAUUUGAGCUCAGAUCAAGUCCCUGAAUCAGUGAACCCGGAAGGAACCUGCUGGUGAAGAGGGAGCCCAGACAGAGGAGAAGCAAGAGACGGACUUGGUGGAGUCUGUUUUGAACCUACUCUCUCAAGGGCUACAGUGGAGCUUAUGCAAGCUUAUGCAUGUGACUUUGGGGAAAUGGAACCCUCUGUUGGCCUUUGGAAUUCAGGAUGUGCAUAGGCAUAGUCAACACUCGCUCCUGUGUAGCUUGGUAGUGAUAAUGCUUCUGUCUCUCCUCUGCUCAGGGAGUUCUGUGGUAACAGAAGAUGAAGCAUGGUGAGAUACUGUGGUUCUUUCAUCUGUGUUGGAUGGAAGAUGCCCCUGUCAGCUGAGGAUCCUCAGCAAAGGGGUUAGAAGGGAGCAGAGAGAAGACAAGCCUACAAAGGCCUUGUCAUUAAGCAUAGAGGACAAUGGAGUGAAUGGUAGUCCAAUUCUGACAUUGAUGUGGAGGGCCAUACCUUCCCAUGGGAUUCUGCCUUGUCAAAGUCAGGGCAUUGGUAAAUUCUUUGAGGAAC
rnacentral:lncRNA from 1 species